AUGACUCUCGGCAACAGAUAUCUCAGCUCUCGCAUCGAUGAAGAACGUAGCGAAAUACGAUACUUGGUGUGAAUUGCAGAAUCCCGUGAACCAUUGAGUCUUUGAAUGCAAGUUGCGCCCAAAGCUUUUAGGCCGAGGCCACGUCUUCCUGGGUGUCAUGCAUCGCGUUUCCCCCUCGCAUUGUGCAUCAAUCGCGGGGUGCGCUGUUGUCGCGGGGUGAAUACUGGCCUCCCAUGCACCUCGAGCUCGCGGCUGGCCUAAAUGCGAGUCCACGUUGACGGACGUCGCGGCACGUGAUGGUUGUAUCUCAACUCUCUUUGUUGUCGCGGGUAUAGCCCAUCGCGCUUCCGGACUCUAGGACCCUUUAGCGCUUAGGCGCUCCAACCGCGACCCCAGGUCAGACAGGAUGACCCGCUGAGUUUAAGCAUAUCAAUAAGCGAAGGAAAAGAAACUUAUAAGGAUUCCCUUAGUAACAGCGAGCGAACCGGGAAUAGCCCAGCCUUAGAAUCGAGCGGCUCCGUCGUCCGAAUUGUAGUCUGGAGAAGCGUCCUCAGCGGCGGACCAGGCCCAAGUCCCCUGAAAGAGAGCGCCAGAGAGGGUGAGAGCCCCAUUGUGCCAGGACCCUGUCACACCACGAGGCACUGUCUAUGAGGUGGGUUGUUUGGGAAUGCAGCCCAAAUCGGGCGGUGAAUUUCGUCCAAGGCUAAAUACGGGCGACAGACUAAUAGCGAUCAAGUACCGCGAGGGAAAGAUGAAAAGGACUUUGAAAAGAGAGUCAAAGAGUGCUUGAAAUUAUUGGAAGAAAAACGAAUGGGGGUCGGCGAUGCGCCCCGGUCGGAUGUGGAACGGCUACGAGCCGGUCUGCCGAUUGACUCGGGGCGUGGGCCAGCGUGGAUUGGGGAGGCGGCCAAAGCCGGGGCUCUCGAUACGCUCGUGGAAUGUCGUCUCCUCAAUUGUGGUAGGCAUUGCGCGCCUCCGGCGUGCUUCAGCAUCUGCACGCUCUGGACGCUGGCCUGUGGGCUCCCCAUUCGACCCGUCUUGAAACACAGACCAAGGAGUUUGACAUGUGUGCGAGUUAACGGGCGAGUAAACCCGUAAGGCAUAAGGAAGCUGAUUGGUGGUAUACCCCCGAGGGGUGCACCGCGAACCGACCUUGAUCUUCUGAGAAGGGUUUGAGUGUGAGCAUACCUGUCGGGACCCGAAAGAUGGUGAACUAUGCUUGAGCGAGGCGAAGCCAGAGAAAACUCUGGUGAAGGACCGCAACGAUUCUGUAGUGCAAAUCAUUCGUCUGACUUAGGUGUAGGGGCAAAAGACUAAUCAAACCGUCUAGUAGUUGGUUCCCUCAGAAGUUUCCUUCAGGAUAGCUGGAGCUCGCGUGCGAGUUUUAUCGAGUAAAACCAAUGAUUAGCAGCCUCGGGGGCGUAACGCCCUCGACCUAUUCUCAAACUUUAAAUAGGUAGGACGACGCAACUGCUUUGUUGAGCCGAGCCACGGAAUCAAGAGCUCAAAGUGGGCCAUUUUUGGUAAGCAGAACUGGUGAUGCGGUAUGAAUCGGAUCCAGGUUAUGGUACCAAACUACGCGCUAACCUAGAUCCCACAAAGGCUGUUGGUCGAUUAAGAUAGCAGGACGGUGGUCAUGGAAGUCAAAAUCCGCUAAGGAGUGUGUAACAACUCACCUGCCAGAUAAACUAGCCCUGGAAAUAGAUGACGCUUAAGCGUGCGACCUACACCCAGCCGUCGGGGCAAGUUUCAGGCCCUGAUGAGUAGGUGGGUAUGGCAGUCGCUGCAAAACCUUGGGUGCGAGCCCCGGCGGAGCGACCGUCAGUGCAGAUGUUGGUGGUAGUAGCAAAUAUUCAAAUGAGAACUUUGUAGGCCAAAGAGGGAAAAGGUUCUAUGUGAACGACACUUGCACAUGGGUUAGUCGAUCCUAAGGGUCGGGGGAACCCCGACAAAUAGCGCGUUUCGCGCAUACUCCGAAAGAGAAUCGGGUUAAAAUUCCUGAACCGGGACGUGGAGGUCGAAGACAGCGUUAGGAAGUCCGGAGACGUCGACGGGAGCCUCAAAAAAAGUUAUCUUUUUUAUUUAACAGUCUGCCCACCCUGGAAUCGGCUCCGCCGGAGGUAGGGUCCAGAGGCUGGAAGAGCACCGCACGUCGCGUGGUGUCCGGUGCGCUACCGGCGGCCCUUGAAAAUCCAAAGGACCGAAUUUUGUCCACGCUCGAUCGUACUCAUAACCGCAUCAGGUCUCCAAGGUGAACAACCUCUGGUCAAUGGAACAAUGUAGGCAAGGGAAGUCGGUAAAAUGGAUCCGUAACUUCUGGAAAAGGAUUGGCUCUGAGGGAUGGACACGAGGGUCCCAGUCCCAAACCCGUCGGCUGUUGGUGGACUGCUCGAUCUGCUUCCGCGGUGAGAGCGGGUCCCCGUAUUUCGGUCGUGGGACAGACUGGAAACGAUUCCUUCGGAGGCUUUGCCCACGCGUCGAACAACCAACUCAGAACUGGUACGGACAAGGAGAAUCCGACUACUUAAUUAAAACAAAGCAUUGUGAUGGUCCCAAUGAAUGUUCACGGAUUGUGAUUUCUACCCAGUGCUCUGAAUGUCAAAGUGAAGAAAUUCAACCAAGCGCGGGUAAACGGUUGUAACACCCCGUACUUAAUUACGUGCAUUAGUCAUUGUUAUAUGUGUUGGGGUAUAUGUAUUGAUCCUAAGUUAGGUAUAUAUGAGUUUAAGUAUGAGUAUUGAUUAUUUUGAGAUGGUUUCAAGUGUAUAGUUUGAUUAUAGGUGUAUAGGAAUCGACUUUAUUUAUAUCGGAAUUUUCCCGUCGAUGGUUCCAUACGAAGGUUAUUGAAUAAGCUUUCCAACGAUAUAAAGAUUUCCAAAAACGGAUAAGUUUCGGAUAUAAGCGAGCUCGUUCGAAACUUUAAAACGGUGGCCGGGAUGUGAACAGUAAAAUGUGCAGGAAACUACUGAGGCCUGCCAGUUUUUUGGGUCAACUUUGAACGAUCAUAACUCCCUCAAUAUAAUGAACUGGUUGAGCUACCAUAUAUCAAAAGAAAGAUCUUUGAGUCUUCUUUCCAAUGAAAUUGGUUUCAUCCAAAUCCAACAUCUGAGUAAGGAGUUAUACUCG
rnacentral:rRNA from 1 species